rnacentral:lncRNA from 1 species
AACAACCUUACAUCGGGACCUGUCAUCGAUUGUUUGGUUACUAUUACUACAACCCUAACACACAGGUGUGCGUAAGCCUGCCAUCCGGCACAUGCGCUGCAGGCUCAAAUUUGUUCUCCUCACUGAAGCUCUGUCAGAAAACAUGUAUCCCCAUGACACUGAAGCAUGCAAAGAAGUGCCUCAGGCUUCCUGUCGAAGGCCCGUGCGGCCCUGAAGUGGUUUCUUGGUAUUACGAUUACGGAGGUAAAGAAUGCAAGAUGUUCAACCGUACCAUCUGUGGUGGCCACGGGAAUGACUUCGUGACUGAAACCAAGUGUCAACACAUUUGUCUGCAUACCAGCAGGCCUGUUUGCAGCUUGCCGCCAAAAGCAGGACCAUGCUAUGGCAGUUCACUACACUGGCACUUUAACGACCGCGGAAACAGAUGCGAAG